CCUUUGGAGAGUUAUAAAAAAACUGUAAUAGCUUUUUAGUGAAACAGAACUCGUUGAACAAGGAA
rnacentral:ncRNA from 1 species